CGAUGUCCACGCCGUCGAGGUUCUCCGUCUGGCCCAUGCCGGACGGAGCCAAGAGGGAAGCCGGUGGAAAGCCGGCGCUGCCCCCGCAACUGUAAGCGGCGAGCGGCGGUCAUCACGCGUCACUGGCAAGCACGCUUGCCGGGAAGGCCAGACCGUCCGCGCCGACCCGCGAGCCAGGAGACCUGCCUCCGACGCGAUAACGUC
rnacentral:ncRNA from 2 species